rnacentral:rRNA from 1 species
AACGAACGCUGGCGGCAGGCUUAACACAUGCAAGUCGAGCGCCCCGCAAGGGGAGCGGCAGACGGGUGAGUAACGCGUGGGAAUCUACCCAGUUCUACGGAAUAACCCAGGGAAACUUGGACUAAUACCGUAUACGCCCUACGGGGGAAAGAUUUAUCGGAAUUGGAUGAGCCCGCGUAAGAUUAGCUAGUUGGUGGGGUAAUGGCCUACCAAGGCGACGAUCUUUAGCUGGUCUGAGAGGAUGAUCAGCCACACUGGGACUGAGACACGGCCCAGACUCCUACGGGAGGCAGCAGUGGGGAAUAUUGGACAAUGGGCGAAAGCCUGAUCCAGCCAUGCCGCGUGAGUGAUGAAGGCCUUAGGGUUGUAAAGCUCUUUCAGUAGGGAAGAUAAUGACGGUACCUACAGAAGAAGCCCCGGCUAACUUCGUGCCAGCAGCCGCCGUAACAC